UCAUUCUGAUAAUUCUGAUUUCUUAUCCUAGUGUACAAAUUUGUUUAAGUGACAGAGAUAUCACAUUGUGUUACAGGCAUCCAGGGAUGAGUUUGCAUGUGGCUUCACUUCACCUACAAAUAGAGGGAGUCUGAGCACUGACAAAGACACUGCUUAUGGGUCUUUUCAAAACGGACAUGGAAUUAAGAGGGAAGAUUCAAGAGGUUCCCUCAUCCCAGAAGGAGCAACCGGAUUUCCAGAUCAGGGCAGCACUGGUGAAAAUACUCGGCAGAGUUCUACAAGGAGUAGUGUAUCCCAGUAUAACCGAUUGGAUCAAUAUGAAAUCAGAAGCCUCUUGAUGUGCUAUUUGUAUAUAGUAAAAAUGAUUUCUGAAGGUGAGUUACCAGCAUAUUAAUCAUAGACUGCA